rnacentral:lncRNA from 11 species
AAUCAGAAGUGUUCCUGCCAAAUUGGGGCACUUUUGGAGUAUGAUCAAAAACAGUAUCUCCUGUGGUCAGCUGCCAACAUCUCACAGAAUUGCUUUGGUCCAGCAAGGAAAAUCUGUCCACAUAGGCAAGGCAGAGGGGGAUAUUAACUCUGCAUUGAACUACGGGACUCACUGGGCUUCGUUUAGCUGCUUGGUGUGCCUUUUGAUACUAAACAAGAUGUCAAUCUCUAUCUAUACCAGCCAGUACAUCGUCAUCUGGAGCAAGCUGUCGGGCUUAUUACAAAUAGAUUAGGGCAGGGAUGGGCAAAGUGUGGAUUAUAAAAUCACUAUAAGCAUAUUUAAAAUUUAUUAUAUAAAAUAUAAUUAGAAAAAACAGUUAAUCAAGUACAAUGGAAAAGACAUUAUUUGCUAAUAAUGAGUGGGGG